rnacentral:tRNA from 1 species
ACGGCAGUGGUCCAGUGGUAAGAUACGAGCUUCCCAAGCUUGAGAUUCGGGUUCGAUUCCCGGCUGCCGUA